UGGGGAAUAUUGCACAAUGGGCGCAAGCCUGAUGCAGCCAUGCCGCGUGUGUGAAGAAGGCCUUCGGGUUGUAAAGCACUUUCAGCGAGGAGGAAGGUGGUGAACUUAAUACGUUCAUCAAUUGACGUUACUCGCAGAAGAAGCACCGGCUAACUCCGUGCCAGCAGCCGCGGUAAUACGGAGGGUGCAAGCGUUAAUCGGAAUUACUGGGCGUAAAGCGCACGCAGGCGGUUUGUUAAGUCAGAUGUGAAAUCCCCGGGCUCAACCUGGGAACUGCAUUUGAAACUGGCAAGCUAGAGUCUCGUAGAGGGGGGCUAGAAUUCCACGUGUAGCGUGAAAUGCGUAGAGAUGUGGAGGAAUUACCGAUGGCNAAGGCAGCCCCCUUGGGCCAAUACUGACGCUCAUGCACGAAAGCGU
rnacentral:rRNA from 1 species